UACGGAAGGCAUCAGUGGGGAAUAUUGCACAAUGGGCGCAAGCCUGAUGCAGCCAUGCCGCGUGUAUGAAGAAGGCCUUCGGGUUGUAAAGUACUUUCAGUCGUGAGGAAGGUGUUAAGGUUAAUAACCUUAGCAAUUGACGUUAGCGACAGAAGAAGCACCGGCUAACUCCGUGCCAGCAGCCGCGGUAAUACGGAGGGUGCGAGCGUUAAUCGGAAUUACUGGGCGUAAAGGGCACGCAGGCGGUUAAUAAGUUGGAUGUGAAUCCCCGGGCUUAACCUGGGAAUGGCAUUCAAGACUGGUUAGCUAGAGUCUUGUAGAGGGGGUAGAAUUCCAUGUGUAGCGGUGAAAUGCGUAGAGAUGUGGAGGAAUACCGGUGGCGAAGGCGGCCCCUGGGACAAAGACUGACGCUCAUGUGCGAAAGCGUGGGGAGCAAACAGGAUUAGAUACC
rnacentral:rRNA from 1 species